UACAGAGGGUGCAAGCGUUAAUCGGAAUUACUGGGCGUAAAGUGUGCGCAGGCGGCCGCGCAAGUCGAGUGUGAAAGCCCCGGGCUUAACUUGGGAAUUGCGCUCGAAACUACGUGGCUGGAGUGUGGCAGAGGAAGGUGGAAUUCCACGUGUAGCGGUGAAAUGCGUAGAGAUGUGGAGGAACACCGAUGGCGAAGGCAGCCUUCUGGGCCAACACUGACGCUCAUGCACGAAAGCGUGGGGAGCAAACAGG
rnacentral:rRNA from 1 species